rnacentral:rRNA from 1 species
CCGACGGUGAGAGACGAAAGCUGGGGGAGCAAACCGGAUUAGAUACCCGGGUAGUCCCAGCUGUAAACGAUGCGCGUUAGGUGUGUCAGUGACCACGUGUCACUGAUGUGCCGAAGGGAAACCGUGAAACGCGCCGCCUGGGGAGUACGGUCGCAAGGCUGAAACUUAGAGGAAUUGGCGGGGGAGCACCACAACGGGUGGAGCCUGCGGUUUAAUCGGACUCAACGCCGGAAAUCUCACCGGAUAA